rnacentral:rRNA from 1 species
GACGAACGCUGGCGGCGUGCCUAAUACAUGCAAGUCGAACGCUUUUUCUUUCACCGGAGCUUGCUCCACCGAAAGAAAAAGAGUGGCGAACGGGUGAGUAACACGUGGGUAACCUGCCCAUCAGAAGGGGAUAACACUCGGAAACAGGUGCUAAUACCGUAUAACACUAUCUUCCGCAUGGAAGAAAGUGGAAAGGCGCUUUUGCGUCACUGAUGGAUGGACCCGCGGUGCAUUAGCUAGUUGGUGAGGUAACGGCUCACCAAGGCAACGAUGCAUAGCCGACCUGAGAGGGUGAUCGGCCGCACUGGGACUGAGACACGGCCCAGACUCCUACGGGAGGCAGCAGUAGGGAAUCUUCGGCAAUGGACGAAAGUCUGACCGAGCAACGCCGCGUGAGUGAAGAAGGUUUUCGGAUCGUAAAACUCUGUUGUUAGAGAAGAACAAGGAUGAGAGUAACUGUUCAUCCCUUGACGGUAUCUAACCAGAAAGCCACGGCUAACUACGUGCCAGCCGCCGCUGUAA